AUUGAACGCUGGCGGCAGGCCUAACACAUGCAAGUCGAGCGAGCGGCGGACGGGUGAGUAAUGUAUGGGGAUGUGCCAGAUAGAGGGGGAUAACUACUGGAAACGGUGGCUCAUACCGCAUACUAUCGGCUCAGCCGAUAUGGGAUUAGCGAGUUGGUGGGGUAAAGGCUUACCUAGGCGCCGAUCUCUAGCUGGUCUGAGAUGAGGACCAGCCACACUGGGACUGAGACACGGCCCAGACUCCUACGGGAGGCAGCAGUGGGGAAUAUUUGACAAUGGGCGCAAGCCUGAUCCAGCCAUGCCGCGUGUAUGAAGAAGGCCUUCGGUUUGUAAAGUACUUUAAGCUGGGAGGCGUUACCUGCAGAAGAAGCACCGGCUAACUCCGUGCCAGCAGCCGCGGUAAUUC
rnacentral:rRNA from 1 species